CCUACGGGGGGCAGCAGUGGGGAAUAUUGCACAAUGGGGGGAACCCUGAUGCAGCGACGCCGCGUGAGUGAAGAAGUAUUUCGGUAUGUAAAGCUCUAUCAGCAGGGAAGAAAAUGACGGUACCUGACUAAGAAGCCCCGGCUAACUACGUGCCAGCAGCCGCGGUAAUACGUAGGGGGCAAGCGUUAUCCGGAUUUACUGGGUGUAAAGGGAGCGUAGACGGCACAGCAGGUCUGAUGUGAAAGCCCGCGGCCCAACUGCGGGACUGCAUUGGAAACUG
rnacentral:rRNA from 1 species